rnacentral:rRNA from 1 species
AUUGAACGCUGGCGGCAAGCCUAACACAUGCAAGUCGAACGAGGCGCGGACGGGUGUGUAAUGUCUGGGCAACUGCGUGACGGAGGGGGAUAACUAAUGGAAACGGUAGCUAAUACCGCAUCCCAGCGGAUGUGCCCAGAUGGGAUUAGCUAGUAGGUGGGGUAAAGGCUCACCUAGGCGACGAUCCCUACCUGGUCUGAGAGGAUGACCAGCCACACUGGGACGGAGACACGGUCCAGACUCCUACGGGAGGCAGCAGUGGGGAAUAUUGCACAAUGGGCGCAAGCCUGAUGCAGCCAUGCCGCGUGUAUGAAGAAGGCCUUCGGGUUGUAAAGUACUUUCAGCGGGGAGGCGUUACCCGCAGAGGAAGCACCGGCUAACUCCGUGCCAGCAGCCGCGGUAAUAC